rnacentral:rRNA from 1 species
UACGGGGGGGGCAAGCGUUGUUCGGAAUUACUGGGCGUAAAGGGCUCGUAGGCGGCCAACUAAGUCAGACGUGAAAUCCCUCGGCUUAACCGGGGAGCUGCGUCUGAUACUGGUUGGCUUGAAUCCGGGAGAGGGAUGUGGAAUUCCAGGUGUAGCGGUGAAAUGCGUAGAUAUCUGGAGGAACACCGGUGGCGAAGGCGGCAUCCUGGACCGGUAUUGACGCUGAGGAGCGAAAGCCAGGGGAGCAAACGGG